ACGAACGCUGGCGGCAGGCUUAACACAUGCAAGUCGAACGGGAUCUUCGGAUCUAGUGGCGGACGGGUGAGUAACGCGUGGGAACAUGCCCAGCAGUACGGAAUAACAGCGGGAAACUGCUGCUAAUACCGUAUACGCCCUUCGGGGGAAAGAUUUAUCGCUGUUGGAUUGGCCCGCGUCCGAUUAGCUUGUUGGUGAGGUAAAAGCUCACCAAGGCGACGAUCGGUAGCUGGUCUGAGAGGACGAUCAGCCACACUGGGACUGAGACACGGCCCAGACUCCUACGGGAGGCAGCAGUGGGGAAUAUUGGACAAUGGGGGAAACCCUGAUCCAGCCAUGCCGCGUGAGUGAAGAAGGCCUUAGGGUUGUAAAGCUCUUUCGGCGGGGACGAUGAUGACGGUACCCGCAGAAGAAGCCCCGGCUAACUCCGU
rnacentral:rRNA from 1 species